GCCGGGGGAUGCAAACGUUAUCCGGAAUCACUGGGCGUAAAGCGUCUGUAGGUGGUGAUGCAAGUCACUGGUGCAAAACUCCGGCUCAACCGGAGGAAAGCCAGUGAAACUGCAUGACUAGAGUGUGGGAGAGGUAGAAGGAAUUCCCUGAGUAGCGGUGAAAUGCGUAGAUACAGGGAAGAACACCGGAGGCGAAAGCGUUCUACUGGAACACAACUGACACUGAGAGACGAAAGCUAGGGGAGCGAAUGGG
rnacentral:rRNA from 1 species